rnacentral:rRNA from 1 species
GAUAAACGCUAGCGGCAGGCCUAACACAUGCAAGUCGAGGGGUAACAGGUGUAGCAAUACAUGCUGACGACCGGCGCACGGGUGAGUAACGCGUAUGCAACCUACCUUUAACAGGAGGAUAGCCCCGAGAAAUCGGGAUUAAUACUCCAUAAAAUUUUAAUACCGCAUGGUAAAAAAUUAAAGUUUCGGCGGUUAAAGAUGGGCAUGCGUGACAUUAGUUAGUUGGUGAGGUAACGGCUCACCAAGACAGCGAUGUCUAGGGGUUCUGAGAGGAUUAUCCCCCACACUGGUACUGAGACACGGACCAGACUCCUACGGGAGGCAGCAGUUGAGGAAUAUUGGUCAAUGGUCGAAAGACUGAACCAGCCAUGCCGCGUGCAGGAUGAAGGCGCUAUGCGUUGUAAACUGCUUUUACUACAGGAGAAACCUAUCCUCGUGAGGGUAGCUGCCGGUACUGUAGGAAUAAGCACCGGCUAACUCCGUGCCAGCAGCCGCGGUU